CUGCCGUCAGCUCAGGCAGAUUUCUAAGCAGCAAAUCAGCCUUUGCCAGAACACUGCAGGACACCAGUGCAGCGCCCAGCCUGCGACCAUGAGGCUCUAGGGGAUGGUAGAGUCACAGGAUGGAAGAACUCUGUGUCCUUGAAUCAUUGCAUGGAAGAGAACUGGAAGUUGCCCAGGAACACCAGCCUUGGACAGUUAUGUGAACAAGAAAUAAACUUCUUUUACAGUGUCA
rnacentral:antisense_RNA from 1 species